rnacentral:sRNA from 1 species
GUCGGCGGUCGGCGUGGGGCGCUAUGCCGGGGCGGCACGUUUCUCGAGUCCGGGCAUUGUACAAGCGCGUCUUGCAGCUGCACCGUGUUCUGCCCCCGGACCUCAAAUCCCUGGGCGACCAGUACGUGAAAGACGAAUUUAGGAGACAUAAGACCGUUGGUUCUGACGAGGCACAGCGUUUCUUGCAGGAAUGGGAGGGUUUUAAGUGCCUAAAGUCGGGGAGAGAAAAGGAGACAGUAUUUAAGGAAUUUAAGAUCUUGAAGUGGAAAAGGCCUAGAAGAGCCAUAACUGCUGAGUCUUGGAAAGAAAAUGAAACAGAGUGUCUGCAUGCAGUUUCCUUAAGGUACAAAUGAACACCAC